GACGAACGCUGGCGGCGUGCUUAACACAUGCAAGUCGAACGCUGAAGCUCAGCUUUUGUUGGGUGGAUGAGUGGCGAACGGGUGAGUAACACGUGAGUAAACUGCCUCCUUCUUUGGGAUAACGCCCGGAAACGGGUGCUAAUACUGGAUAUUCACUGGUCUUCGCAUGGGGGUUGGUGGAAAGGGUUUUUCUGGUGGGGGAUGGGCUCGCGGCCUAUCAGCUUGUUGGUGGGGUGAUGGCCUACCAAGGCUUUGACGGGUAGCCGGCCUGAGAGGGUGACCGGUCACAUUGGGACUGAGAUACGGCCCAGACUCCUACGGGAGGCAGCAGUGGGGAAUAUUGCACAAUGGGCGCAAGCCUGAUGCAGCGACGCCGCGUGAGGGAUGGAGGCCUUCGGGUUGUGAACCUCUUUCGCUCAUGGUCAAGCCGCAACAAUGGUUGUGGUGAGGGUAGUGGGUAAAGAAGCGCCGGCUAACUACGUG
rnacentral:rRNA from 1 species